rnacentral:rRNA from 1 species
UACGUAGGGUGCGAGCGUUAAUCGGAAUUACUGGGCGUAAAGGGCGCGUAGGCGGCCUUCUAAGUCGAACGUGAAAUCCCCGGGCUCAACCUGGGAACUGCAUUUGUGACUGCAUCGCUGGAGUGCGGCAGAGGGGGAUGGAAUUCCGCGUGUAGCAGUGAAAUGCGUAGAUAUGCGGAGGAACACCGAUGGCGAAGGCAAUCCCCUGGGCCUGCACUGACGCUCAUGCACGAAAGCGUGGGGAGCAAACAGG